AGCGAACGCUGGCGGCAGGCUUAACACAUGCAAGUCGAGCGGGCGUAGCAAUACGUCAGCGGCAGACGGGUGAGUAACGCGUGGGAACGUACCUUUUGGUUCGGAACAACACAGGGAAACUUGUGCUAAUACCGGAUAAGCCCUUACGGGGAAAGAUUUAUCGCCGAAAGAUCGGCCCGCGUCUGAUUAGCUAGUUGGUGAGGUAACGGCUCACCAAGGCGACGAUCAGUAGCUGGUCUGAGAGGAUGAUCAGCCACAUUGGGACUGAGACACGGCCCAGACUCCUACGGGAGGCAGCAGUGGGGAAUAUUGGACAAUGGGCGAAAGGCCUGAUCCAGCAAUGCCGCGUGAGUGAUGAAGGCCUUAGGGUUGUAAAGCUCUUUUACCCGGGAUGAUAAUGACAGUACCGGGAGAAUAAGCCCCGGGCUAACUCCGUGCCAGCAGCCGCGGUAA
rnacentral:rRNA from 1 species